CUCUCAAAAGUUGGGACGCUUGGUCCCUUCUGGGGAUGGACCCUGUGCCAGAGUUGGUUGGACUGUGCCCUGAGGACUCCUUUCCUCUCUGGUGCGCGCUCCACUGUGUCCCCACUGUCUGGUUAGCAAGGCAGAUGGAGCCUGGGUGGUUGCACAGGGAGCUCUAAGCCUGCUGGGCCUCAGGAUACAUCCCGCUGCCAGUGGCUUGAGGCGGACCCUGGAUUGCAACCUUGAUCUACCAGGCCAGUCGAAGAGGCAGAGUCACCAUGUUCUCAAGCCGUUCAGAUCCACCUUCAGGUCCUUCCUCCUGCUGCUGCCUGAGUUGUUGGCUCUCAGUUGAAGGCUGCCCUUGGGACAUAGUGGUGGUCUGCAGUCCUAGGAGGCUUGCUUGG